rnacentral:rRNA from 1 species
CUAGCGACUUCAGAGUUUGAUCCGGCUCAGGACGAACGCUGGCGGCGUGCCUAAUACAUGCAAGUAGAACGCUGAGGUUUGGUGUUUACACUAGACUGAUGAGUUGCGAACGGGUGAGUAACGCGUAGGUAACCUGCCUCAUAGCGGGGGAUAACUAUUGGAAACGAUAGCUAAUACCGCAUAAGAGUAAUUAACACAUGUUAGUUAUUUAAAAGGAGCAAUUGCUUCACUGUGAGAUGGACCUGCGUUGUAUUAGCUAGUUGGUGAGGUAAAGGCUCACCAAGGCGACGAUACAUAGCCGACCUGAGAGGGUGAUCGGCCACACUGGGACUGAGACACGGCCCAG